CCCGCGCCGUUGCCCUUGGCAACGCCCGCCGCGCCCUGGCAAUGUCUCGCGGGAGUCGUCCCGGCGCUCGCCGGGUUGACCGUGCUCCUGCAGAGACAGGUUCUACGGAGUGGCCCCAACUCGGAUGCCUCUAGCUCCCUCCCGAUCUCCACACCAACUCAGACCGAGGUCUAUGGGAGGUUUGUUUGAUUUUCUUCACUUGGAUGCAUAGUUUCACUGUACAGCGAGCAGACUGGAUUUCAAUUCCCUGAGAUGCUCCUGCCUCGGCCCCCUGAAAGCGGAACUCACAGAUGAGCGUCACCACGCGGGAACCUAUUUGCUGUUUUGAAGGUGUGACACAGUGAUUUAGUUCCUUACCCCGUUCUGCUGCGACGUCCUCAUUCUAAAUGGGUCAGCAGUCUGAAAAGGACACGGCUGUUGAGGGGCACAGCCCCAACCCCAGCUCAGAUCCCCAAACUAUCCACGAUGACACGAAGGCUUGGAGGACGCUCACUAAUGAUUCUAAUCUCCGGAGGGUGCUAGGGGCUUCACCUGCGGCCGUGGACCAUCUCUUCGGGUAGUGUGCGUGCACUGUAGGAGUUGUGCACUUUGCCCAACCCUUCUCUGCCGCAUUUGAAACUACUUUGGGUGCAUUCUGCUGCUACUUUUUCUGUGAGACUUCUCGCUGCUGUUGAAAAAGUAAAAAAGAAGGAAAGUAGGAGGGAUCAAGUUUUCAUUUCGAGGUUCUGAACGUUCUAUUUGACCCUGUCUUCUCUGGGAAUCGUGAAAAGGUGACUCGUUCUGUAACAUAGGUGACAAGGAAAAGGGGGUAAGCAGGCUGGAGGGGGCCUGUGUGUGUCCUUUGUGUCAAAUUUGGUUUCUUGAGACAAGGUUUAGACCAGGCUGGCCCCAAACUCUCAGAGAUCCGACUGCCUCUGCCUCUCUAGUGCUGGGAUUAAAAACAUGUGCCACCACACCCAGCCUCAAAAAGUAAUUCUUUACAUUGUAUUUCUUUGGGGAGUGGGGGGGGGGGAGCUUUUAUCUUUCACUGGCUGUAGCCAGAGUCUCAGAAUACAGAGAAUUACUCCUUAUGCCUUGUGGUGGUUUGAAUAGAAAUGGCCUGCAUGAAUUCUAAAUGCCGUGUCUAAAUGCUUGGCCCAUAGGGAAUGGCACUAUUAGGAGGUGUGGUCUUGUUGGAAGACGAUUGUCUCUGUGGGGACAGGCUUUGAGGUCUUAUAUACUCAAGCUAUGCCCGUGUGUGACUUACAGUUUCUUGCAGCCUUCAGAAUGCAGAACUCUAACUAAGCCCAUCCUCCAGCAGCAAGUCGGCCCUGAUUCAGUCUUGCUACUCUCCAUGACAAUAAUGGAUUAAACCUCUGAAAGCGUAAGCCAGACCCAAUGAGAUGUUUUCCUUUAGAAGAGCUGCCGAAUGGAGUCUCUUCAUGGCAAUAAAACCCCUGAGACAAGA
rnacentral:lncRNA from 1 species